AUCUAUUAUACAUACACAUAUAUAUGUAUAUAUAUUUCUAUAUACAUAUAGGAUAUAUAUCAGUGGCAGCCGUCUAUAAUACGUGUUUUUCCGUUACUACAACAGCAUAAACACACUUCACCAGAGCAACAACAACAAAGUAGACUUUGUUGUCCUUCCAUUGAAUAUAUUAAACUUCUAAAGCAUCAAU